CGAGUCAUGGAUCAAGCCUGGCUUUUAAGGCAAAAUUCAUGUUGAAAUUAAGUUAUUAACAUUCAAUCAUGGUUCAUUUCAUUCAAAUAAAUGGUCAUUCAUUCAUUAGAAUACACAAUGUUCAUUACAAAAGAAAAUAUCAAAAAUUUCAUUUUCAUCCCUAAACCUAAAACUAGUCAUAUUUUCAUCCUUGCAUUGAAUUCAUGAGUGUCCAUUGUCACAUUUUCCUUCAUAAGAAAGAAACCAUAUUUUUUAGUUUGCCUUGGUCACUUUGCCUUGAAACUUGGUCACUUUGCCUUGAUUUGCCUAAAACUGUGCCUUACAAGCUUUUCCAUUAUACCACAAACAACCCUGCAAUCAAUCCAUGAACCUAAAAUAAUUAAUACAUAUUAAGUUAUGGCACAAAAACAAUGCAUAGUGCACAUCAAUUGACAACAUUUGCAUCAUGGAAGACUUACCAUUGUAUGAGCAAACCAACCAUGGCAACAUCCUGCAGUAGCUCACAAACCUUGACCAUGAACAAUUCCUAGCAACCUACAAUGUCAUCAUAAUCAAUUCAUAUCCACACAUUAACUAACAACCAUGCAUUACAACCCAUAACCAUUCAUGAACAACAACUCAUCCAAACUUACAUAAAUCAAACAAAUCCAACAUUGCAUCAUAACAUCAACAACAAAGUUAACCUACUGCACCAGGUCAUCACAUGAACAAUAUCAACACCUAACCAACCAAAUCCAACAGAUCAUAGUAGUGCAUCAAACCACAACAGGGAAAAUUUCAUGUACUCGAGCAAAUAGUUAUCCACCACUAAGCAACAAUUUACUGAACUGGAUUUCCACUAUCAUCACCAAACAAUUAAUCUAAAUCAUCUAAUAAUCAACAUCAGUUAACUGAGUAUUUUUCAUACUAACAAAAUUGGAACUAAACCAUUUCAUUAAAACUCAAUUUGAUUCAACACUCACAAAAAAUCAGUUAACAGCAAAAGUCAGUUACACUCAAAUUCACUUAACACUUUCCUCUAAUAUAUUUUCACAAUCUAACUAACAUAACUAACUAUUUGACACCGUAUUUAACUCUAAACCAAUUCCUGUUUCAAUGAUCUAACAGAGCUAACAAAAUCAGUUAACUCCUUACCUAUAAAUGCUUUCACCUUCACUGAUUCAGGGGGUCCUCAAUCAUUUUCCGAUUCAAAACUCUCUCAUUCUCUCACUCAAAUAUUUCACUCUCUCUAACUCAUAUUCCAUUUCCAUGUUUUCUCAAGUUCAUCUCAGAUUCAACUUGAAAUUCAUAAGAAGAAGAUAGAAGAAAAAGACUGAAGAGCAUAUGAUUCAAGUAGAAAGAUUUCAAAGGAUUCAGAGAUAUUUACCUGAAUUUCCGGCGCCUGCUUUGGUGAGUGCAUCCUCUAACCUUCAUCAUUUUGAUUCAAAAAAGUUACCUUAAUUUAGAGCUUCUUAAGAUGAAUCAAAUCCCUAACCUCUAGGUUCUUGAUCAAUUUCCUUCAAUUUGGAGAUUUAUGGAGUUUUCAGAGGAUUUUGUUUGUGGAUUCUGUUUGAGCAUGAAAAUUGAAGUGUUUCGGUGUGUAAGAUUUUGUGGUAUGCUGCUCCACCUCCGCCGGUGGUGAGCUCCGACGCGGUGGAGGGAGAAGGAUGGAGAAUAUGAUGUUUAAAACUAUGGGAGCACGUGGAAGACAUGAUUCAUGUGUUACACGUGAUUUUUCAAUCUGAGUCUAAUUUUUCCUUUCUUUUAUUCCAGAUUGGGCCUGCUUGUUCCCUUGGGCCCAUCUUACUAUUUACACCCUUAGUCCAUAAUUUGCACCUC
rnacentral:lncRNA from 1 species